GCCGCCGUCCUCCAUUCCGUUCUUCCUCAGCUCCCGUCGGUGGUGCUUGAAAGAGUCCGUUUUGGUGCUGGCCUUCUUCAGGUCGUCAAGUUCGCCUUGGCGCGCGGUGCUUCUCUUCUUCAUCGUCAGGCCGUCAAGUGUGUCUUAGUGGAAGUUCAAGUUCGUCUUGGUGGUUCUCUGCUCUUUUCCGGUCAUCUUGGUGUCUCGGUGCUGCCCUUCAACUUCAUUGCCAGGUUCGGUGCUGGUCUUCUUGAGUUCCGAGAGUUCUCGGUGGUCGUGUGUCGUGAAGCGUCAGGUCCCAUUGUUGGAACUUGGAAGCUCCUUGAAGAAGAACGUGUCCCGGUUUUGAGGUAG
rnacentral:lncRNA from 2 species